AACGGCCAUAUCACAUUGAAACACUUGUUCUCAUCCAAUCACUGAAGUUAAGCAGUGUUGAUCCGGAUUAGUAACUAGAUGGGUGACUGCUUGGGAAUACCAAGUGCUGUAA